UCCACAGUGUGGGCGAAAUGACCUGUGGGCGAAAUGACUCCAUAGUGUGGCGAAAUGGCAUGUGGGCGAAAUGACCGGAUACCGACAUGAGCUCCAGCUCUCAGUACGCGUGAUGCUGUGGACACACUCAAGGGGGUUGUGUUGGUGUCUACUGCCUCCUCCUGCCAACAUGACGGUAGAAGGCCAAAGCUGAGGACACGGGAAGGCAAGAGGGCGGGUACGGAUAUUCGGAGAUAGCCUCAUGAGGAGAACAGCCACAGCCUCCCAGCAUGGCCAGCCUGACCAGCCUGACCAGCCACCCCCCCUGACAGCACCCCUGACCCUUACUGGCUCAUGGUGAUGCAAGAAGACCACCACACACACAUGUUAAGUCAGUACAGCAAUGGAUCUUCACACAUCAGUACACUGGAGAUACUAACUGGGAGGAGAGGAGAGGAGAGCAUCUCACAGCAUCAAUAUAUUCUUCCUUCCUGGAAUAAUAUAUUCCUCUUCCUGGAGAGAAGAAACUAUGAAAGAGAUAUAAUAGAUAAGUGUAUAAAUGAACCCAAACUAUUC